ACAAAACAAAAAUAUCAGAUCUCAUAUUUACUUUACUUUCCAAAUUACGUGAUUUUAAUUUUCAAAACUCUCUCCUUCUUCCUUCAUCCUUCGUUGAAGAACACCAUGAACCCAGAAACAUCAACGCUGGUUUUGAUUCUGUGAUUCUCCUCUCAAUCUUUAUACCCAUCAUUCUAUCUUUUUGAUAAUUAAUUCUCAUCGGCCCUUUGGUUCUCUUACAUCGUUGUGGAGAAGGAAGAGAGAAGUGACGUGAAGAUCCGAUCGUCGGCGGUGAGUCCGAAUCCUCUCAGUUUCAUGAAAUCGAAGCUCGUUCUACUCGUCUCUCACGAACCCUCCCUCUCAGGUGGGCCUUUGUUAUUGAUGGAGCUCGCGUUUUUGCUGAGAGGAGUUGGUGCUGAAGUUGUUUGGACUACGAAUCAGAAACCUGUUGAAGCUGAUGAAGUGGUUAAUGUUUUGGAACAUAAGAUGUUGGAUUGAGGAGUGAAGGUUAUCUCAGCGAAGAGUCAGGAAGCUAUAGAUACAGCGUUCAAGUCUGAUUUGGUUGUUUUGAACACUGCUGUUGCUGGGAAAUGGCUUGAUGCUGUUCUCAAGAACAAUGUUCCUGAAGUUCUUCCUAAGAUCCUCUGGUGGAUUCAUGAGAUGAGAGGUCAUUAUUUCAAGGCGGAUUUAGUUAAGCAUCUUCCUUCUGUUUUGUCUUUUGUUUUGGUUUGAGUAGUUGUCUCCAGACCUUUGUUUUCUCUUUCAAGUAAUGAAUACGCUUUCGUCUGCAAAUUUUUUUCUACAUGUGUCGUCCACGUCCACAGAUUUGGUUCAUGUCCAUGUCCACUUAGUUUUUUGUUAAUGUUGAUAUAUAUUUAUAUAUAUCAUAUAUAUAUAUAAAUUACUGUAAUAAUUAUAUUUA